rnacentral:ncRNA from 1 species
GGUGUUUCACCGAAUUUAAAAAGGGAAUCCCGUGAAAAUCGGGAGCGGUCCCGCCGCUGUAUUGGGGGACGAAACCCACAUAGGAUCUUUAUCGAUCCUAAAAAGCCACUGUCGUAUUUGACGGGAAGGCGUGGGGAGUAGGACGAACCCAGAGCCAGAAGACCUGCCUGAAACA